rnacentral:rRNA from 1 species
CAGGACGAACGCUGGCGGCGUGCUUAACACAUGCAAGUCGAACGGGGAUUAGUUGGUUGAGAGCUCGGCAGGAUACCGAUUAAUUCGAGUGGCGGACGGGUGAGUAACGCGUGAGCAACCUGUCCCAGACAGGGGGAUAACACUUGGAAACAGGUGCUAAUACCGCAUAAGACCACGGUAGGACAUCCUACAGGGGUAAAAGGAGCAAUCCGGUUUGGGGUGGGCUCGCGUCCGAUUAGAUAGUUGGUGAGGUAACGGCCCACCAAGUCGACGAUCGGUAGCCGACCUGAGAGGGUGAUCGGCCACAUUGGAACUGAGAGACGGUCCAAACUCCUACGGGAGGCAGCAGUGGGGAAUAUUGGGCAAUGGGCGAAAGCCCUGACCCAGCAACGCCGCGUGAGUGAAGAAGGCCUUCGGGUUGUAAAGCUCUGUUAUAGUUGACGAAGGAAGUGACGGUAGGCUAUAAGGAAACCCCGGCUAACUACGUGCCAGCCGCGGC